GAACUCGGAGGCUGGGGGCGGAGCCGGAUGCCUAGGCCACCCCAUUGGCCAGGUGAAGCUUAGAAGAGCCGGAACCCGGGAGCUGGAGAAGCGAAAUGACAUUUCCUCUUUAAAUAGCUGGAGCCGGGGCCCCGUCGAGAAAUGGCCGCGUCGGCAGAUUUGAAUAAGGCCUCCCCAACGCCGAAUGGGAUUCCAUCUUCGGACACAGCCAACGAUGCCAUGGACCCCUUCCAUGCGUGCAGUAUUCUCAAGCAACUCAAAACAAUGUACGAUGAAGGACAGUUGACAGACAUUGUAGUGGAAGUGGAUCACGGGAGAACCUUCUCCUGUCACAGAAACGUCCUGGCUGCGAUCAGCCCUUACUUCAGAUCCAUGUUCACUAGUGGCCUUACAGAAAGUACUCAAAAAGAAGUUCGAAUAGUUGGUGUUGAAGCUGAAUCGAUGGAUUUAGUGUUGAACUAUGCCUACACCUCCAGAGUGGUUCUGACAGAGGCCAACGUUCAAGCCUUGUUCACUGCAGCUAGCAUCUUCCAGAUUCCUUCCAUCCAAGACCAAUGUGCUAAGUAUAUGAUCAGUCAUUUAGACCCACAGAAUUCUAUUGGGGUCUUCAUCUUUGCUGAUCAUUAUGGUCAUCAGGAACUUGGAGAUCGAUCAAAAGAAUACAUUCGUAAAAAGUUUCUGUGUGUCACCAAAGAACAAGAGUUUCUCCAGUUGACAAAAGACCAACUGAUUAGUAUAUUAGACAGUGAUGAUUUAAAUGUAGACCGAGAAGAGCAUGUUUAUGAAAGCAUUGUAAGGUGGUUUGAACAUGAACAGAAUGAAAGAGAAGCGCACCUUCCAGAAAUUUUUGCCAAAUGCAUACGUUUUCCCCUGAUGGAAGAUGCCUUUAUAGAGAAAAUCCCACCUCAGUUUGCACAGGCUAUAGCCAAGAGCUAUGUAGAAAAGGGCCCAUCCAAUACCAAUGGCUGUACACAGAGACUUGGAAUGACUGCAUCCGAAAUGAUCAUAUGUUUUGAUGCUGCCCACAAACACUCAGGAAAGAAGCAAACAGUGCCUUGUCUAGAUAUAGUCACGGGAAGAGUGUUUAAACUAUGCAAACCACCAAAUGAUCUAAGAGAAGUGGGGAUUCUUGUAUCACCAGAUAAUGACAUUUAUAUUGCAGGAGGGUACCGGCCAAGCAGCAGUGAGGUCUCCAUCGACCAUAAGGCAGAAAAUGAUUUCUGGAUGUAUGACCAUUCCACCAAUAGGUGGCUCUCCAAACCCCCCCUGCUGCGAGCCAGAAUAGGCUGCAAACUGGUGUAUUGCUGUGGUAAGAUGUAUGCAAUUGGAGGUCGUGUUUAUGAAGGUGACGGGAGAAACUCCCUAAAAUCCGUAGAGUGCUACGACAGCAGGGAGAAUUGCUGGACCAGCGUUUGCGCAAUGCCUGUUGCAAUGGAGUUUCAUAACGCUGUGGAGUACAAAGAGAAGAUCUAUGUUUUACAGGGAGAAUUUUUCCUCUUCUAUGAGCCUCAAAAAGACUACUGGGGUUUUUUAACCCCCAUGACUGUGCCUAGAAUCCAGGGCUUAGCAGCUGUCUACAAGGACUCUAUCUACUACAUAGCUGGAACCUGUGGAAAUCAUCAACGAAUGUUUACUGUAGAAGCCUAUGAUAUUGAGCUAAAUAAAUGGACUCGGAAGAAGGACUUUCCAUGUGAUGAGUCCAUCAAUCCAUACCUUAAACUGGUACUUUUCCAGAAUAAACUGCAUUUAUUUGUUCGAGCUACUCAAGUGACCGUUGAAGAACAUGUCUUCAGAACCAGCAGGAAAAAUUCCCUUUACCAAUAUGAUGACAUCACUGACCAAUGGAUGAAAGUGUACGAGACCCCAGAUCGCCUCUGGGACCUUGGCCGGCAUUUUGAAUGUGCUGUUGCUAAACUCUACCCUCAGUGUCUUCAGAAAGUACUUUAAUGAGUAGCAGGCCUUAGUGAGCUCACUGGCAUCUUGUGCUUGGAGAACUUAGUCUUUCAAUGAUACAAGAAGUGCUGUCAGUAUUUAAGAAGCUGAGAGAGUUUGUACAUGGCAAUGGGUGCUCUUAAAGAUUACAGUGUAGAGAGGGAUUUCUUUUCAUCCUUGUGAUGUUUUCAUUUCAUUAAGCAAAAGGUAACAAAGUGCAAUUAUCAGCAUUUUUUUUCUGGUAUAUAGUAAUCAUUUUCAUUCUAGAAUUUUGUGAUAAUUCAUCACUGAGAUACCAGAUGAAUCAACAACUAUGCACUCUUAUAAGAGCAGUUAGGGUAUUAUGGUUAGAGACAUCCAAACUAGUUUGUUGUGACUUUUUAUUUUAAAUACGGGUAAAAAUUUGAGGCAAUAUCACUAGGACUUUAGCUGUGACCUCUCCAACACAGAGAAGCACUAACUUAGAUCCUCAUUCUAUAAUAUAUUUGUGUACUGUUUUCAAGUGUACUGAGAUUUAAGUGUGUUUUUAGAGUAGGUUGAUGGAAAACAAAUCCGUCUAAGAAAGAGCUUUUACUCUGCUUGUUUCAUAUUUCCCAUGUAACUUUAAGUUAAGCUAAAGUUUUAAAGUAGCAGUUGUUUUUAUUGUUGUUGUUGUUGUUGUUGAUAACUUUUUCAAGUGCUGACACUGUCUCAUUAUUUACGAAUCCCGAAAAGGGCUUAAAUUCGCAGGUGGCUGGUGCUAGUAUAAGUGAAUUCAUGGGUCUAGCUCUAUGGGUUGAAGUUGUUUGAGCCUGUGCUUACCUUUCAAGUUGGUAUGCUGGUUUUGUGGCAUAGUACUUUACCUGUUGAACUCUUGUGAUUUCACAAGAUUCUCUGCUUAAGUGAUAGCAAGAUCUCUAACUGGACUCAGUUUUAGAAUAGUGAGAACAUGACACUCAGUUUGCACUAACAUGGGCCAUUUUGUUGCCCAACCUCCUUUCCCAUCCUCCACCCAUCCCUUCAUUAUCGGUACAGUGAAAGGUAACUUAUUUCUCUUCUGCACAGAGCAUAAUGUGAAGUUUUCUACUUGCUUUUACGAUUUUGUUUUCCAGAAACCUAAAACUCCUUCAGUUGAUCUAAUUUAAUGGCUUUUACGUUACAUAUGACCAUUAAAACCUCACUUUUUUUUGUUGUUGUUUUCUCAUUUUUGCACUUAGUAAUGUAUAUUUUUACAUUGAAAACCUUGUUCUAGCUGAAAGUAAUUGAGAAGGAAAGGGUGAGUGAGUAUAAUCAUAGCAUUGUAGGUACUAAAUCGCUUUUCCUACUUAACGGAUGGAUUUCUAACAGUCAGUAAUAGUGACAUAAAGGACAAACCAACUCACUUGUAAUACCUAAGGCAGAUAUUUGGAUCAGUAACUUGUUUUUUACUAUGCCUAGAAUAACUGAUAAAGGACAUAAGGAUAGCCCACAGUCUGUCCUCAAGUAGAACAUUUUGAUUCUCUUAAAGAAAACAAACUGGCAUGGUUUGUAUUAAAAACUCUUGCACAAAUUGAAAUGUGAUACUGUGAAACAAAUUUAAAACAUUGCCUCUUUGCAUCACAUACCUCGUUUUUCAGAAACUUUCCAAACUGCUUGUCCUUGACCUCUACAAGUAAGGAAUGUUUUCUGAAGCAGAAUUUAAAGUGGACAGCAUUUAUAGAAUUAACAUUUUAAAAUCUAGUCUUGGGAAGUUGGAUAUGUGGUUUCUUAUUGGCCUUGAUAGUAUGUCAAUAAUCUCUUUAUAAACUUUGUCAACCACCUGUUUUUUUUUUUUCUCUUUAGUUUUUCUUUACUUACAUGCUGUUUUGGGGCUUUUGCUGUGAGUGUUUUGAAGCAUCUUUCCAGUGUUGCAUUGCGGAGGGGAGGAGAAGACAAAACUAACUUUUGCAAGAGAUGUUCAUGUAAUUUAUUUUUGAAAGCUGUGUUGAAUAUCUGAGAUUUCCUGCCACUUUUUGACAAUCUUCUGUAUUUAUUUAGAAAAAUGUGUUACUUGAAAACAUGACAUAGAACAGUGAGUUAACAAUUUACAUGUGCCGUGUGAUAUAUAGGAGUACAAUAUACUGUGGUUAAUUCUGCAGAUUUAUUCUGUUCAUCUGCACAACAGUUGAUCCUUUGCUAUAACUAUUUAUACUGGGGGUGUGAUCCAAGUAUAGUGUGUCAAAGCCAAGGUUUAGAAUUUGCUAUGGGAGUAGAAUAUAUAUUGAAUUUUGUAUGAAGAACUAUUUGUUUAAAUUAUAUAACUGGGAUAUUUUGCCACUUUUAAAAUGAUUUCAGAAGAGGUCCUAGAGAGCUAAGAUUAGUAAUUUGUGUGGGUAUAUAUGUUUAGAUAUUUAAGGUACAUUUGCAUAGUAUAAUGGGAAUAUAAGUAAAAGGCACAAUGGGGACUACAGAAGUAAAAUAUAGGCUAACAUAUGCCAGUCCCACUUGAACUUUGUUUUUGCAUUUGAAGAAUGUAUGUAGCACUUUCCUAUAUAUUUUUUACAUAUUGAAAACUGGACUUGGUAUAACUAUGUUAUAGGAAAGUAGAAACUGUAUUCUUUAUUUUCCAUCUUUGUUUUCUGUUAUCCUACAAAGUUGAUGCUUAAGCAUCUGGCUGAUUUCUCUGGUGCAUGAGGAGAAGUGGGUGUGCUCUGCAAGGAAUCAGAUUCCCUAUGUGAAGCAGUUUCAAAUGGCAUUCAAUGUUCAGUGCUCAGCAUGUCAUAAUUAUUCACUGAAAGUCAGACAAGAUGAAUCAAGUAUGAAGAAGAUAAAUAGAACCUUAGGGUUAUCUUUUUGGAUCCGACUCCCGGUACUGCAGCCAUCUGUCACUGCCUCUGUUUUUACUACUGAAGCAACAAACACACGGAAGGGGAAUUGUUAAACCUGUGGGAUCCCACGGAGCUCGACGGGGGAAGUGGACACAUCACAUGCUCCCCAGUCCCCAGGGAGUGGGGACCCAGGAAGGUGGCCCACACGGUCACGUUCAAAACCAGCAUGCCGGAGGUGUUAGGACUGCAGCCGGCUGGAAGGGAAGCCGGCGUGGGAUGCGAAAAGGGGAAAAGGAUUUGGUUUGUCAUUUUUUUCAGCAUUGAAAGGAGACUUUGUCCCAAGUGUCUGAGAGGGGGUAUUUUACUCAUGAACAAAGCUGGAACUUAAUCCCAAUAAGAGCCAAGACAGGAAUCUGUCAAUGAGUGUUCAGUGCCCCCAAAAAGCAGUAAAUUGGGACAACAGUUCAAUAGAAUUAUAAAUUUCUUGAAACAUUUCUAGUAAAAAGUUGCUAUAGCCAAUGU